AAGGAGGGCGAAAUCCAAUAGUAGUAAUGGCAUUAUGGAGGGAUGGAAUUAGAGGACAAAUGAAGGAGAGGUACACGUCACUCUUCUCUAAUCAACAUCACCCACAACCAUUCAUCACACAAACCACAUUACACCACACGUGCAAAUGUCUACUUAGUUAUUUCUAUAUCUAACAGAUGACCUUUCUCCACACAUCCAAGAGAUACAUAACAGGUUGGGGCCAACAAGUACAUUACAAUAUGUCACUGCUCGCUCACACACACACGCACACACACAAACAGUAGAGAGUGACAGAGGGGUACAGGUGAGAGAGAGGGCAUCACACACACUGUAGAGAGGGACAGAGGGGUACAGGUGAGACGAGAGGGCAUCACACACACUGUAGAGAGCGACAGAGGGGUACAGGUGAGACGAGAGGGCAUCACACACACUGUAGAGAGCGACAGAGGGGUACAGGUGAGACGAGAGGGCAUCACACACACUGUAGAGAGCGACAGAGGGGUACAGGUGAGACGAGAGGGCAUCACACACACUGUAGAGAGCGACAGAGGGGUACAGGUGAGAGAGAGGGCAUCACACACUGUAGAGAGCGACAGAGGGGUACAGGUGAGAGAGAGGGCAUCACACACACUGUAGAGAGCGACAGAGGGGUACAGGUGAGACGAGAGGGCAUCACACACACUGUAGAGAGCGACAGAGGGGUACAGGUGAGACGAGAGGGCAUCACACAAACUUUCAGAGGUGAGAAACAAUGUUAAACUUUUCCUCAUUAACUUCAAAUCAAAAGCCAAUUUGUCAUUACGUUCUAUUGAAAUGAGGUGUGUUCAAUGUGUUAGAAUGUGUGUGUGAACCAGCCCCCAGACCUGUGUGCACCUGUUGGCAUUCUCUCCUCCAUUAAAAACAAUUCUGUCUCAUUAGUGGAAUCAGAGCAGACAUGGUCCGUCCCCUAAUCCUGUCCCUCCUGCCCCCCCAACCCUCAGUCU